AUGUCGGAACAAGGUUUCCGUAGGUGAACCUGCGGAAGGAUCAUUAACACCUAUCCAAACGUUAAAGCCUCCCCCGUGAACAUUGAUUCCUGCUCUUGUAACCCGCGAAGCUUGCAAUCUUGGUAAAUCAUAGCCCGGAAAGUAGUUUUGAUUCAGAGACCUCUGGCCCGUGCGAAAAUUGGAACAGUUACAAUUCGAGCGGUAGUUCUAUAGGCCUUGUUUCCCCAAGCAGUCAGUGUCUGAAAGUGUCAGUGAUUGUGCAAGGAUAACGCUUCACGAUUCUUGUAGACCGCAUCUCGCGGGCAGGAGCUAGGCCAAAGGGUCCCCAUGCCCCCUUACAACCCCACAGUUAAAUGUGAAGCUCAAUGUAAUACAUUGGGUAAAAAACCGAACAACUGUUAACAAUGGAUAUCUUGGUUCUC
rnacentral:misc_RNA from 1 species